rnacentral:rRNA from 1 species
GACGAACGCUGGCGGCGUGCUUAACACAUGCAAGUCGAACGGAAAGGCCCUGCUUUUGUGGGGUGCUCGAGUGGCGAACGGGUGAGUAACACGUGAGUAACCUGCCCUUGACUUUGGGAUAACUUCAGGAAACUGGGGCUAAUACCGGAUAGGAGCUCCUGCUGCAUGGUGGGGGUUGGAAAGUUUCGGCGGUUGGGGAUGGACUCGCGGCUUAUCAGCUUGUUGGUGGGGUAGUGGCUUACCAAGGCUUUGACGGGUAGCCGGCCUGAGAGGGUGACCGGCCACAUUGGGACUGAGAUACGGCCCAGACUCCACCGGGAGGCAACAGUGGGGAAUAUUGCACAAUGGGCGGAGGCCUGAUGCAGCAACGCCGCGUGCGGGAUGACGGCCUUCGGGUUGUAAACCGCUUUCGCCUGUGACGAAGCGUGAGUGACGGUAAUGGGUAAAGAAGCACCGGCUAACUACGUG